GUUUGUAACGGCUGGUGAUGAGCAUCGCUGAAUUAAGAGACAUGUUUUUUUUUUAUUUUCACACAUAAAACUAUUGAACAAAAAGAUGCUACACAAUCAAUCUAAUUUGGCGACACAGAAAUUGAGAAGAAACAGGUAAACUUUUAAUUUUCUAUUGUUGACAUCAUGAGAAAACUUUCAUUUUAUGUGUUUACUUUCAUUUUUUUUUUAAAUGUUCAUAUUAAUGUUUUGUGUUGAUACAAAGCAAAACCAAACCUCGAUAGGCUAAAUUAAUCUAUGUGUUUUUCUCUUGUGUAAUUUGAUACUCAAAUAUGUAAUAUCUAUCAACGAUGUAAAAAAAAAAAAACUCAACAAAGAUACCAGGCGAAUUAGUUCACCAGAGAUGCAUUUAGUCAGGAAAGUUCAAAAAAAGCAAUUAACAGUUCAAACAAAGUACGAAAUGGAAGAGCAUUUAAGUCUUAAUUGGUCGAGACUAUAAGGUAUUCGCAAAAAAGCUAUAAUCUAAAUUAUCUAAGUCAAAAAGGUUAUGUAGUUUCUUUUACCUGGCUUAAAAAGGACAGCCGACAUUCCGAAUUUGGAAGCGAAUUUGGCAUAUUGAACCUGUAUGGAAAAUAUUACCUGUUGAAUAGCAAUAAGAUGAGGAUCGGCAUUUUAAUAUUUGAGUAUAUCCAUUUAACUAGGGUUAUGCAUAGAGCAUAUAACUCGUGAGGAUUAACGAGAUUCUACAAUAAUUCAGUAAUUUAAAACCUAAGAGCUACAAUUAAAAAAGGCAAGGAAUUUUGAAUAAUGGAAAAGCAAUAGAUGUAGGACAGAAUUUGAUUUCGUUGAAAAUUAAAUUCCUAUAGCUUGCAUUUUUUAAAUACAGCUGUUUCACAUACCACGCCUCUUUUGGGGAGAUAUAAUAUUCAUAGAUAUUUAUUUUUGUUUACCUACUUGUUCCCAGAUAUGAUCUCUAUGUUUCAUCUCGUAGCGACAUAACUUGGGAAUGUUAUUAGCAAAAAAAAAACAUGAAAUCCAUGGACGACAUAGAGUCAAGGUAGAGGUAGUACAGAGUUUGAUAUAAGUUUAAACUGUUGAUAGUUCGGGGCAUAUAAAUGUUUAAAAUAUGCCGCACAGCUCUAUAUUUUGACCUUUAAAAAAAGUAGUGCUUAUGAAGUUCUAGGAUAUAUUUUAUUUCAAACUUCUUAGUUAAAGUGGUAAAUUUUUAGUUAUUAAAUGAGUUUCUAAAUAUAUGGGAAAUUGCAUUGCCGAUAUUUACAUAAAUGAAACAUAAACGCUAUCCUUGUUGAUUUCUUUUUUUAUUUCUUUUGCAAUGUAAUAACACUGUUAAUUUCAUGCAUGAAAGGCGCCUUCCUGGAUGUAAUUUCAUCAGUCUUACACAAAAAAAAAACCAUCUGAAAGCCAAGGAUGUAUAAUACAUGUGAUGAGCUAUUUGACCAAAACGAACAUAAUAAUACAAAAACUCAUUCAAGGUAAUUUUUUCUAACAAAACUGGAACCUUGAGUUCGUUUUUUUUAAUAAUUUUUCAAUUCAUCCCACAAAUGUUAAGGCACCUUUGUUAUGAAUCGUAUCAGUACUAAUACAUGGACUACUGUUUAAACAAUUAUAUUUCAUUCAGAUAAAUUGAAUUGGAUUGGUUAAGAGGUUAUGUGAGCCCUUUCUACACAACGUAUAUAUUACAGUCAAAUACAACAACAAAUGUAGGAACAUAAUGACAACACAUCAUUAUUUAUUUCGAAAAAAAAAACUCAUGGUUGAAAGGAAUAAUGCUACAAAUAGUUAGAUAACUAAUUCAAAAUACUACUAUAUUUUGUACCAAAAAUUGAUAAACAAAGUUGUUUAAAACCAUUGUUAGAAUAAGUAAUUUAUUUCAAAAGACAUGUUUGAUAUCAUGUUUUUUUUUGUCUAAUCUAUCGCUCCUGAAGAAUAAAGAUAAUGAAUAAAUAUCAUAUUUGUAAAUUAAAAAAACAUAAUUAAGAUAUAAUAAGAAAAAGAAGUUUGAUAAAAAUGCACUACUACUACUACUGAGUUGAUGAUACCCCUACGAUACUGACAUGUCACCAGCAUUGAUAUUAAAUACUUGAUCAACCUGAUAUGUUGAAAUAUAAUCUUAUUAAUUAGGAAAGAGACAUCAUUUAUGACGGAAAAGUACAUAGUAAAAAGAAUAGAUAUUUCCCAUGAUUAUUAUGCAUAAACAAAUGCAAUUCAACUUGAAACUCUUAAACAAAAUGUUUGUUUUAGCAAAAGGAAAAACUAAUAGGAAAAACGACCAAGAGAAAUGUUUAUUACUCAGUGAUACUACGUACGAACUGUUAUUAUGUUAAAUGCAUUACAUUAUAGGAUAGUAAAUCAUUGAUAUUGACUGUACUCAGUGACCAGAAUUUUCAGGAUUUAACAAUAAAACAUUUAUUAAACUAACAAAAAAGGUUUAUUAAUGUGGUAAAACUAUAACAGAAUCAUGUUACUUUUGUUGAACACAUAUCAACUCGCAAGCCAUGAUUGCACUCUCCAAUGUUAUUUUUUUAGAAGAAGUAUUGACGUUGCAUGAAUUCUUGACGCUUGAUCUGUAACCUAUGUAUGGAUCUUGUGUCAGGUGUUUUGUCUUCGUGUAACAUUUCUUUGAAUCUUUACCUGCACUCAAAUCAGAAAAGUAAAGUUGUGUUUUAUUUUUUUAGUCCAACAGAGACCCAGCAAAGAAUUUCAGAAUCAGGCCUUUAUAAUGUUGCAGGAAGGAAUAAGUCAACGAGAUGAUGUUAGACAGUGUCGAGUCAGAUAUGUCCCUUUCAGUCCUGACAACAAUGCUAUUGGCGAACGAGAUUUGUAAGUGAACAUCCCUGCCAUGGCCUAACUUGUAACAACGCC
rnacentral:lncRNA from 1 species